GAACAUAAUGAUACAAUAAAGUGACCAGAAUACAAAGACUAAUAAUAACUAACACAGAAAAGCAAUGUGGAAACUCAAAUAUGUGAAGGAAUGCAACUGAAAUACAAAACAGUACUGACAGGGGAAGAUGCAGGGGUGGAACAUAAGGCGC